UACAGAGGUGGCAAGCGUUGUUCGGAAUUACUGGGCAUAAAGGGCGCGUAGGCGGUUCGUUAAGUCCUGUGUGAAAUCCCCCGGCUCAACUGGGGAACUGCACAGGAAACUAGCGGGCUUGAGUUCGGGAGAGGGAAGCGGAAUUCCGGGUGUAGCGGUGAAAUGCGUAGAUAUCCGGAGGAACACCGGUGGCGAAGGCGGCUUCCUGGACCGACACUGACGCUGAGGCGCGAAAGCUAGGGGAGCAAACGGG
rnacentral:rRNA from 1 species